rnacentral:ribozyme from 13 species
AUUGAAGGUUUGGCAUCCCCUUCUUCUCUCUUCUUUUUCUCUUUUUGAAUCUCAGAAAUUAGUGCCUUUGCUUUUUCAAAAGCAGAGAGAGAAGAGAGAGAUGGAUCAGAGAAAGAAGAAA